GAAGGUAUAGCUCAAGGUUGGAGCAAGUGCUUGGCGUGCACAAGGUCCUGGGUUCAGUCUCCAGUGCCUCUG
rnacentral:tRNA from 1 species